rnacentral:rRNA from 1 species
GGUACCUGAAGAAUAAGCACCGGCUAACUACGUGCCAGCAGCCGCGGUAAUACGUAGGGUGCGAGCGUUAAUCGGAAUUACUGGGCGUAAAGCGUGCGCAGGCGGUUGUGUAAGACAGAUGUGAAAUGCCCGGGCUUAACCUGGGAAUUGCAUUUGUGACUGCACGGCUAGAGUGUGUCAGAGGGGGGUAGAAUUCCACGUGUAGCAGUGAAAUGCGUAGAUAUGUGGAGGAAUACCGAUGGCGAAGGCAGCCCCCUGGGAUAACACUGACGCUCAUGCACGAAAGCGUGGGGAGCAAACAGGAUUAGAUACCCUGGUAGUCCACGCCCUAAACGAUGUCGACUAGUUGUUGGGUCUUAAUUGACUUAGUAACGCAGCUCACGCGUGAAGUCGACCGCCUGGGGA